CCAGACUCCUACGGGAGGCAGCAGUGGGGAAUAUUGCACAAUGGGGGGAACCCUGAUGCAGCAACGCCGCGUGAAGGAAGAAGGCUUUCGGGUUGUAAACUUCUAUCAAUAGGGACGAAAAGAAUGACGGUACCUAAAUAAGAAGCCCCGGCUAACUACGUGCCAGCAGCCGCGGUAAUACGUAGGGGGCAAGCGUUAUCCGGAAUUACUGGGUGUAAAGGGAGCGUAGGCGGGACGGCAAGUCAGAUGUGAAAACUGAGGGCUCAACUUUCAGACUGCAUUUGAAACUGCUGUUCUUGAGUGAAGUAGAGGUAAGCGGAAUUCCUAGUGUAGCGGUGAAAUGCGUAGAUAUUAGGAGGAACAUCGGUGGCGAAGGCGGCUUACUGGGCUUUUACUGACGCUGAGGCUCGAAAGCGUGGGGAGCAAACAGGAUUAGAUACCCUAGUA
rnacentral:rRNA from 1 species